rnacentral:tRNA from 1 species
UGAGCAUAGGAUGCUACAUUCGGAAUGGUCG